UACAGAGGGUGCGAGCGUUGUCCGGAAUCACUGGGCGUAAAGGGCGCGUAGGCGGCUGGGUAAGUAGGGGGUGAAAUCUCACGGCUCAACCGUGAGGCUGCCUUCUAGACUGCCUGGCUUGAGCAUGGUAGAGGCUGGUGGAAUUCCCGGUGUAGCGGUGGAAUGCGUAGAGAUCGGGAAGAACAUCGGUGGCGAAGGCGGCCAGCUGGGCCAUUGCUGACGCUGAUGCGCGAAAGCGUGGGGAGCAAACAGG
rnacentral:rRNA from 1 species